rnacentral:misc_RNA from 1 species
GUUCAGCUAUAAUUUGAUCAGUCUCUGUCUUGUUUUAUUGCCGGAGGUAUAACAUAAUUGAGCAAUAGGACCAAGUGAUCUAUCAAUCUUGGAAAAGGAUUAUUCUGGAAAAUGAGAGUCCCUGCUGAAAUAUAUUUUAUUUGUAAGCGGCAAUUAUCUGGUAAUAACCACAAUAAUUAAGCCCCAAUUCUACAUUAAUAUAUAAAAAUUUUGUAUACUACUUUCAUCAACGUCAUUUUAAAUCUCUCUCUUUGAACUCAAUUCACCAUUAAUUUAUCAUAUUUUCAUAUUGA